rnacentral:rRNA from 1 species
UACAGAGGGGGCAAGCGUUGUUCGGAAUUACUGGGCGUAAAGGGCGCGUAGGCGGCCUGUUAAGUCGAACGUGAAAUCCCCGGGCUCAACCCGGGAACUGCGUCCGAUACUGGCAGGCUUGAAUCCGGGAGAGGGACGUGGAAUUCCAGGUGUAGCGGUGAAAUGCGUAGAUAUCUGGAGGAACACCGGUGGCGAAGGCGGCAUCCUGGACCGGUAUUGACGCUGAGGCGCGAAAGCGUGGGGAGCAAACAGG